rnacentral:rRNA from 1 species
GGGUGAGUAACACGUGGGCAACCUGCCUGUAAGACUGGGAUAACUCCGGGAAACCGGGGCUAAUACCGGAUAAUUCAACGAACCGCAUGGUUCGGUGUUAAAAGAUGGCUUCGGCUAUCACUUACAGAUGGGCCCGCGGCGCAUUAGCUAGUUGGUGAGGUAACGGCUCACCAAGGCAACGAUGCGUAGCCGACCUGAGAGGGUGAUCGGCCACACUGGGACUGAGACACGGCCCAGACUCCUACGGGAGGCAGCAGUAGGGAAUCAUCCGCAAUGGACGAAAGUCUGACGGUGCAACGCCGCGUGAGUGAUGAAGGUUUUCGGAUCGUAAAACUCUGUUGUUAGGGAAGAACACGUACUGUUCGAAUAGGGCAGUGCCUUGACGGUACCUAACCAGAAAGCCACGGCUAACUACGUGCCAGCAGCCGCGGUAAUACGUAGGUGGCAAGCGUUGUCCGGAAUUAUUGGGCGUAAAGCGCGCGCAGGCGGUUUCUUAAGUCUGAUGUGAAAGCCCACAGCUCAACUGUGGAGGGUCAUUGGAAACUGGGGAACUUGAGUACAGAAGAGGAGAGCGGAAUUCCACGUGUAGCGGUGAAAUGCGUAGAUAUGUGGAGGAACACCAGUGGCGAAGGCGGCUCUCUGGUCUGUGACUGACGCUGAGGCGCGAAAGCAUGGGUAGCGAACAGGAUUAGAUACCCUGGUAGUCCAUGCCGUAAACGAUGAGUGCUAGGUGUUAGGGGGUCCAACCCUUAGUGCUGCAGUUAACGCAAUAAGCACUCCGCCUGGGGAGUACGGCCGCAAGGCUGAAACUCAAAGGAAUUGACGGGGGCCCGCACAAGCGGUGGAGCAUGUGGUUUAAUUCGACGCAACGCGAAGAACCUUACCAGGUCUUGACAUCUUCGGACCGCCCUAGAGAUAGGGUCUUCCCUUCGGGGACCGAAUGACAGGUGGUGCAUGGUUGUCGUCAGCUCGUGUCGUGAGAUGUUGGGUUAAGUCCCGCAACGAGCGCAACCCUUAACCUUAGUUGCCAGCAUUCAGUUGGGCACUCUAAGGUGACUGCCGGUGACAAACCGGAGGAAGGUGGGGAUGACGUCAAAUCAUCAUGCCCCUUAUGACCUGGGCUACACACGUGCUACAAUGGAUGGUACAAAGGGAAGCGAAACC